rnacentral:misc_RNA from 1 species
UUACUGAGUGAGGGCCCUCUGGGUCCAACCUCCCACCCGUGUUUAUUGUACCUUGUUGCUUCGGUGCGCCCGCCUCACGGCCGCCGGGGGGCUUCUGCCCCCGGGUCCGCGCGCACCGGAGACACUAUUGAACUCUGUCUGAAGAUUGCAGUCUGAGCAUAAACUAAAUAAGUUAAAACUUUCAACAACGGAUCUCUUGGUUCCGGCAUCGAUGAAGAACGCAGCGAAAUGCGAUAACUAAUGUGAAUUGCAGAAUUCAGUGAAUCAUCGAGUCUUUGAACGCACAUUGCGCCCCCUGGUAUUCCGGGGGGCAUGCCUGUCCGAGCGUCAUUGCUGCCCUCAAGCACGGCUUGUGUGUUGGGCUCCGUCCCCCCGGGGACGGGUCCGAAAGGCAGCGGCGGCACCGAGUCCGGUCCUCGAGCGUAUGGGGCUUUGUCACCCGCUCUGUAGGCCCGGCCGGCGCCAGCCGACAACCAAUCAUCCUUUUUUCAGGUUGACCUCGGAUCAGGUAGGGAUACCCGCUGAACUUAAGCAUAUCA